CCAUGAAAACAGCUGAUCGGUUCUGUGGGCCGCACUUGGUGUAUUUUUUGCCUCUAACGCUGCCCGAUUCGAUAAAAUCUCGGAGUCCGGGAUGUACUUUCGCGCGAGAAGAAUUUUGGAAGCUGUGAACAUCAUGGAGACUGUGAAAGCCUAGUGCUCGGAUACGCAAGAAUCGAUGAAGGUUGGAAGGCAGUACAUCUGAACAGAUAGCUGGAAAACGGGAGCCGGGAAGCUGGGCGGCCUGGAGGGCCGCGUGCUUCAAGUCCUUGGAAGGACCCACCCAGCCUCCGCUCCGGUAGAUUUUUUUCUUCGACGACGCCGCGGACAGCUCCAGUGACGAGGAACGUCCUGCUGUUCCCGUGCCCCCUGCCUCGCCAGCAGCUGCCCACGUGUCCAUUGGCACCGAGCCAGGCACAAGUGGCAUUGCGUGACCAUCAACUCGGCAGCAGCCCCGCAGGCCACCUCAGCAACAAUCACUUGAAGAUGCGGCCUGCAGGGCAGCUGACGAGUAUGCGCGGCAGGGGCAGCUGGCCGAGGCUGCUAACGC